rnacentral:rRNA from 1 species
UUGAUCCUGGCUCAGAACGAACGCUGGCGGCAGGCCUAACACAUGCAAGUCGAACGGACUCUUCGGAGUUAGUGGCGCACGGGUGCGGAACACGUGGGAACAUACCCUUUGGUAAGGAAUAAUAGCUGGAAACGGCUACUAAUACCUUAUAAUCUUCGGUCCAAAGAUUUAUCGCCAAAGGAUUGGCCCGCGCAUGAUUAGAUAGUUGGUGAGGUAAUGGCUCACCAAGUCUACGAUCAUUAGCUGGUCUGAGAGGACGAUCAGCCACACUGGAACUGAGACACGGUCCAGACUCCUACGGGAGGCAGCAGUGAGGAAUAUUGCACAAUGGGGGAAACCCUGAUGCAGCCAUGCCGCGUGUAUGAAGAAGGCCUUAGGGUUGUAAAGUACUUUCAAUAGUGAAGAUUAUGACGGUAGCUAUAGAAGAAGCCCCGGCUAAAUUCGUGCCAGCAGCCGCGGUAAUACGAAUGGAGCAAGCGUUGUUCGGAAUCACUGGGCUUAAAGCGUGCGCAGGCGGAAAAGAAAGUCAGAUGUGAAAUCCCAGGGCUCAACCCUGGAACUGCAUUUGAAACUUCUUUUCUAGAAUCCGGGAGGGGUCAGUAGAAUUACUAGUGUAGAGGUGAAAUUCGCAGAUAUUAGUAGGAAUACCAGUGGCGUAGGCGCCUAACUGGACGGGAACUGACGCUGAGGUACGAAAGCGUGGGGAGCAAACAGGAUUAGAUACCCUGGUAGUCCACGCCGUAAACGAUGUAUGCUAGUUGUUGGAAUCCAUAGGGUUUCAGUGACGCAGCUAACGCGAUAAGCAUACCGCCUGGGGAGUACGAUCGCAAGAUUAAAACUCAAAGGAAUUGACGGGGACCCGCACAAGCGGUGGAGCAUGUUGUUUAAUUCGAAGCAACGCGAAGAACCUUACCUACACUUGACAUACUCGUCGGGAUUUCCAGAGAUGGAUUUCUUCGGUUCGGCCGGACGAGAUACAGGUGCUGCAUGGCUGUCGUCAGCUCGUGUCGUGAGAUGUUAGGUUAAGUCCUGCAACGAGCGCAACCCUUAUCGUAUGUUGCCAUCAUUAAGUUGGGAACUCAUGCGAGACUGCCGGUGUUAAGCCGGAGGAAGGUGGGGACGACGUCAAGUCAUCAUGGCCCUUACGUGUAGGGCUACAAACGUGCUACAAUGGCUACUACAGUGGGCAGCAAACCGGCGACGGUGAGCGAAUCCCCAAAAGUAGUCUCAGUUCGGAUUGUUCUCUGCAACUCGAGAACAUGAAGUCGGAAUCGCUAGUAAUCGUGGAUCAGCAUGCCACGGUGAAUACGUUCCCGGGUCUUGUACACCCGCCCGUCACGUCAUGGGAGUUGGUUCUACCUGAAGGUGGUGCGCUAACCUCGGAGGCAGCCAACCACGGUAGGGUCAGCGACUGGGACGAAGUCG